rnacentral:rRNA from 1 species
CGGAAUUACUGGGCUUAAAGGGUGCGUAGGCGGCGCAGUAAGUUGGGUGUGAAAUCCCUCGGCUUAACCGAGGAAUUGCGCCCAAAACUACUGUGCUCGAGGGAGAUAGAGGUGAGCGGAACUUAGGGUGGAGCGGUGAAAUGCGUUGAUAUCCUAAGGAACACCGGUGGCGAAAGCGGCUCACUGGAUCUCUUCUGACGCUGAGGCACGAAAGCUAGGGUAGCAAACGGG